CAUAUGUCUCCUGGAAUAUAGGGUUAGGGUUCUUCCGUUAAUAAGAGCUUUCUUUCUAAUGAGCAAGACGACGGACCUUGGCGUGAUCGAGGAACUGGGGUAUUGGGUCGAGCUCAACACCAAAAUGACCAAAAUGUGCUGCGACAAAUGUAUUGGAAAAAAUUACAAGGAUCCGGAUCUUAAUCUUGGCGAGAUGGCCUGCAUCGAUCGAUGCGUCUCAAAGUAUAA